AGCUUGACCUUAUUAAACCACAGUGAAAUAGUUUUCCAAAGUCUGGAUGUCAUAGAUCUAUUCUCGUAAUAACUCAUUUUAUAUACAUGUCUUCUAUGUCUUCUAGACUGUAAAUGAUGUCUAACCUGAUGUUGAAUAUGGCAUAAAUACAUAGGAUUUUUCUUCUUUUUCAAUACAAAAUUGUUUUUAAGACUGUUAUUUUGUGAGGCUAAAGUAGGGGAAGGAAUGGGUAGAAGAAGGAACAAUAUGAUAGUAAAAUGAUCUUAAAGGCAGAAUUUAGAAAGGAAAUGAGAGAGUGUAAGUUGGAGAAAUAAAAAGGUGAGAAAUAAGGAAUUUCUUAAUUCAGAUUAUCUUCUGUUAUAUCCUAUUUGAAUUGCUGAAUAUCAUAGCCAUUUUAUGUUUUUCUCUCCAGGGACUCUGGAGGACUCACUUGGGUUAUUAAAAUUGUUGAUGAUAAGAUUUGAGAGUCUACUAUAAUCCUAUCUGUCAUUAAAACUUAAGUACUUUUCUCAAGGAUUUCCUAGUUACUAUAUAGUUACUGAAAGCUAUAGUUUUUAGCUUUUGAAUUUUAAUAGAAAAAUACAUUAUUGUGACGAAUUACCAGAAAGAAUUAAUUUAGGGAGAG